AUCGGCGCAGGGUGAGUCGGCCCCUAAGGCGAGGCCGAAAGGCGUAGUCGAUGGGAAACAGGUUAAUAUUCCUGUACCUCCUGUUACUGCGAUGGGGGGACGGAGAAGGCUAGGUCAUCCGGGUGUUGGAUGUCCCGGUUCAAGCGUGUAGGGAGUGCCUUAGGCAAAUCCGGGGGCACAAUCCUGAGGCGCGAUGACGAGGCCCUUUUUAGGGCCGAAGUGAUUGAUGCCAUGCUUCCAGGAAAAGCCUCUAAGCUUCAGGUAACAAGGGACCGUACCCCAAACCGACACAGGUGGGCAGGGUGAGAAUCCCAAGGCGCUUGAGAGAACUCGGGUGAAGGAACUAGGCAAAAUAGCACCGUAACUUCGGGAGAAGGUGUGCCCCUUGUAGGUGAAGGACUUCGCCUCCGGAGCUGAAGGGGGUUGCAGUGACCAGGUGGCUGCGACUGUUUACUAAAAACACAGCACUCUGCAAACUCGUAAGAGGACGUAUAGGGUGUNNCUAAGGUAGCGAAAUUCCUUGUCGGGUAAGUUCCGACCUGCACGAAUGGCGUAACGAUGGCCACACUGUCUCCACCCGAGACUCAGUGAAAUUGAAAUCGCUGUGAAGAUGCAGUGUACCCGCGGCUAGACGGAAAGACCCCGUGAACCUUUACUACAGCUUUACACUGAACUUUGAGCAUGCUUGUGUAGGAUAGGUGGGAGGCUUUGAAGCGAGGACGCCAGUUCUCGUGGAGCCAACCUUGAAAUACCACCCUGGCAUGUUUGAGGUUCUAACCUAGGUCCGUUAUCCGGAUCGGGGACAGUGUAUGGUGGGUAGUUUGACUGGGGCGGUCUCCUCCCAAAGAGUAACGGAGGAGCGCAAAGGUACCCUCAGCACGGUCGGACAUCGCGCAGUGCGUGCAAAGGCAUAAGGGUGCUUGACUGCGAGACAGACACGUCGAGCAGGUGCGAAAGCAGGUCUUAGUGAUCCGGUGGUUCUGUAUGGAAGGGCCAUCGCUCAACGGAUAAAAGGUACUCCGGGGA
rnacentral:rRNA from 1 species